CCAUCCCCCCAAUUACAUCUUAGAUGAAUCUUUAGAUAAAUACGCUCAAUUUUCGUAUUUCCUAAUGGUCUCGUGGUAGAAUAUUUGUCAUUAGAGUGAGAGGUCGAAUAAUCAGUGGUUCGAAUCUGUCCUCAUUUAGUUUUUUUCCUCUUUAAGUUAAAAUAAGUUCAUUAAUGUUUGUAUACCAAAAUGUUUGUGUGCAUUUUGCUAGUGAUGCCUAGAAAGAACAGUCAAGCGAUGUCUGAAGACUAACUUACACGAGCCAUAACAUUCCUCGGCAUGAUUUCAAAAACAACUUGUUUCAGCGCCAGUUCGCUUCUUAUUUAACUCAAAUCAACAUAAACUGGAUGUUUUAUUUGCAUUAUAUACGUGCAGCAAGAUGACAAUUUCGACCCAAAAGCACAUUCUUUUCACGAGUGUUGUCGCGAGUCAUGUAAAUGAUAAAUGAUAAAUGUUUAUUUUUUUUUUCAUUCAUGGAUUUUUUUUUUUUUCCCCAACAAAUCUUACUUCAUCAUCUUCAUAUAUAUAAUUUAUAAAACCAUGAUGAAAAGGAGGCAGGGUGAAGAAUGUCUUAUAUUUCCUGCCCCCUCAACAAUAAAAAAAAAAAAAUUCAACAUAUCAAAUCCCCGUCAAUGCAUGACAAUAACAAAUGAAACAAACUAGAAACCAAAACAUCAACCUAAAACAGAUUUCAAAGCAAAAGCAAACCAUGAUCACAACCAUCAUCAUCAUCAUCAUCAUCAUCAUCAAUUUCUAUGAGUAUUCAUCCAAAACAAAAGCAAACCAUGAUCACAACCAUCAUCAUCAUCAUCAUCAUCAUCAUCAAUUUCUAUAAGUGUUCAUACAAAUCCAUUGUUUUCUCUUUAAAUCUUUUUUUAAACUGAAAUAUAUUCUUACAUUGCUUUAAUUCAUUUUGUAGUGAAUUCCAAACUUUCACUCCCACCACUGAAGUACACAUUUGUUUUGCUGUUGUCCUUACAGUUUGAUACCUAAAAUGUCCCUUUCUUCUUCCUUCAUUUUCUAUAAGGACAAAUAAAUGUUGAAGGUUUGUGGGCAGUACUCUAUUUUUUGCUUUAAACAUAACAAUAAGUGUCCGUAGUUCCACCAAUUCUUUAAAUUUUAACAAUUUAGAGCCAAAAAAUAAGGCAUUUGUGUGCUCUCUAUAAUCUGUUUUAAAUAUAAUUCGUAUGACUCUCUUUUGUAAUAGAAAGAGUGACUCUGUAUUGCUUUGAUAUGUGUUUCCCCACACCUCCACACAGUAGCUGAUGUAGGGCAACACCAGUGCACAAUACAAAGUUCUCAAUGCCUUAUAAUCUAACACAUAUUUUACCUUAUUUAAUACAAAAAUACUCUUGGAUAUCUUUUUUUGUAUGUAUGAUAUAUGUGGUUUCCAAGUCAACCCUUCAUCUAAUAACACACCCAAAAACCUAAUUUCCCUAACUUUCAUUAUUUUUGUUCCUGCUAUUGAUAGUAUAAUACUAUCAUCUUUUUUUUUAUUACCAAAAAUCAUAAACUUUGUUUUCUUUAGAUUUAAUGACAACCUAUUAACAUCAAACCAUUCCUUCACUCUAACCAUUUCUUGUUCCAUACUAAUUACCAAUUCAUUUAAGUCAUUUCCUGAGAGGUAAAUGUUUGUGUCAUCUGCAAAUAGAACAAAAUUCAAUAACUUAGAUACAUCGCAAAUGUCAUUAAUGUAAAGUAUAAAUAAUUUCGGUCCUAAAACUGAACCUUGCGGUAUACCACAUUUAAUUUGCAUAUUAUUGGAUUUGGUAUUACUAUACUGAACAUACUGUUGUCUUUUGUUCAAAUAACUACUUAACCAAUCCAAUACUAUUCCUCUCACACCAUAUAAUUGUAGCUUUGAUAACAAGAUUGAAUGAUCAACUGUAUCAAAUGCUUUCUUUAAGUCAAUAAACACACCUAUUGUAUGUUUCUUAUUAUCAGUUGCAUUUAUUAUGUCCUCAGCUAUGUUCAUAGUCGCAGAAGCUGUAGAUCUACCUGAACGGAAUCCAUACUGACCCUCAUUUAACAACUGGUUUUUUUCAACAAAUUCAUCUAGUUUUUGCACAAAAAUUUUUUCAAGGACUUUAGAAAAUUGAGAUAAUAACGAAAUUGGUCUAUAAUUUGUAAACAUAUGCUUAUCACCAUCUUUAUAUAGUGGGACCACCUUUGCUACCUUCAUCCUAUUAGGGAAAAUCCCUGUUUGAAAUGAAAGAUUAAAUAUGUAACUUAAAGGUUUAACAAUACAAUCAAUGGUUUUUUUCACAAUAAUCAUAUCUAACCCAUCCGUAUCUGUAGAUGUCUUGUUUUUUAAUGCAUUUACUAUAGAUAAAAUUUUAUUUUCACUAACAUCUCCAAUAAACAUUGAUUGGAGUACUCUACUCCCCCUUGUCCCUCCAUUCUGUGACCCUAAAUUAUGUUUUUCAAUAUUCUCUGCUAACUUGGGUCCCACAUUUACAAAAACGGAAUUAAAUUAAUUUACUACUUCGUUUAAGUUUUCAAAUUUCUUGUUAUCCUCGUUUACGAAAUGGUGUGGUGUACUGUCCUGACCUGAUGUACUUUUCCCAAUCAGCUUAUUCAAAAUAUUCCAUGUUCCUUUAAUAUCAGUUUUGUUUUUUUCUAAUAAACUUCCAAAAUAAUCUUUUUUCGCUUGUCUCAUUAUUGUUGUUAAUUUAUUUUUAUACAGCUUAUACUUCAUUUCUGCUUCUUUUGACCUAAAUUUGAUAAAAUCUCUAUAAAGUUUAUUCUUCUUUUUGCAUGCAUUCUGUAGUCCCCUAGUAAUCCAAGGGUUUUUGCUAUAACUAUCCUUAUAUCUAUAUUGCACAUAUGGACAAUGCCUUUCAUAUAAUAUAAGAUAUUUAUCUAAAAAAGCUUCAUAUGCUGCAUUUACUUCCCCGACAUACACCUCUUUCCAGUCUUGUUCACUCAAAUCAUUUCUAAAUCUAAAAAUUGCUUCAUCUGUCCUUUUUCUAACAUAUUUAGUCCUACAGCCAGCUUCUUUCUCAUUGGAUAUUUGACAAUCCAAAAUACAAAAAACAGGUAAAUGGUCGCUUAUAUCAUUGAUCACCAAUCCACUCUUAGUUUUACUUUCAAAAACAUUUGUAAAAAUAUGGUCGAUCAAUGUCGAACAUGUUGUAGUUAUCCGAGUUGGCUCGGUGAUCAAUGGAAACAACCCUCUACUAUAUAGCAUCUCCAAAUAAUCAUUAGCUGCAACUUGUCUAUUCACACUCAACACAUCAAUGUUUGUAUCCCCACACAGAAUAUAAUCUUUCUUUUCAUUCAGCUGACAUAACACUUUUUCUAGCUGUUCAUUGAAUAUUUCAAUUUUUGACCCAGGUGUUCUGUAAAUGCAUGUAACAACAACAUUCCUCUUCUUUUCCAUAUCAAUCUCCACUGUAAUACAUUCAAAUAAAUCAUUAAUGGCUGUUGUCAUACAUUCUACAAUUCUGCAUUUCAAAUCUGUGGUCACAAAUAAGGCAACACCGCCUCCCCUCUUAUCUCUUCUACUGCAAUGAUGCAAUUCAUAACCUUCCAUACAAAAUUCUACACCUCGAGCUUCAUUAACCCAUGUUUCUGACAAUGCUAUGACAGAAAAUUUAUGUUUUAAAGACCUUAAGUAUUCCUGGAUCUUGGUAAAGUUUGCAUACAAACUCCUACAAUUAAAAUGUAUUACUGAAAAAUUACUGUCCAGGCUAACUAUAUCAUUAAACUUUUCUUCUGUAUAGUAAUCACACAUGGAAUUAAUUGUGUUAAAGCAGUGAUUUUCUGGAUCAAUACUGCAUUCAAAAUCAUACAACUUGUAGUCUAUAUAUUUAGCUCUUAACAAUGUAUAGCCCCUUGUAGGCCCAGAGAAAUCAGUAUCAGUCAUCAUUUUCUAUAAGCAAACAAAUAAACAAAUAAUAAUACCCUACAAAUAUUAUUUUUACAAAUGCUGUGUUUAACCAACAAGUGCCGCCACAUGGAGAAAUAAAUGAUUUAGUCCACAAUAAGUCCAAAAUAAAAAUAAAAAGUCGCUGCAAUAGGAAGUCCCAGUGGCAAAAAAUGAAGAAAAGGAAAAGUAGGUUUACAAAAAAGCGGCAGUAGAAAAGGCAGUGUAGUAUUGACAGUUUAUAAAAUUUGAGCCUGCGUCUCCAGGAAAACAUUGUGAAUCCUUGUUCCCAUAGGUUCACCGAACUCCCUUCAAAACUAAUUAAACAUCGGUCAAGGAUAGAAACUUUUCGAAUACCCCUCAAGAAAAAUAAAAAAUAAAUUACAUAUCCGGCCAAAAACGUAACUAAUCCUUUGAUCUUCACCUGGCCCAAAGUUCCUAUAUUCCCAAGAAGCAUAUUUACCGUCAUCUUCAUUUGUAGCAGUCCAGAUCUUUCAGCUCCCUAAUCAUCAACACUUUCUCCGCUUCAAUCGAAGGGCCAUUCAAUCUUAUCAACACCUUACAAUCUCUAGUCCAGGUGGCUUUUAUUUUACGUUCCUUCCAUAGCUGCCGAGCAACUCGGGCAAUCUCGGCAUUUUUAGAUGUUAGGUGUUCAUUGAUGUACACCGCCGUGCCUUUGAGCUUUUUCCCCUGCACCAAAAGUUCCGUUUUGCGUUUACGAUUCACAAAACGCAUCAAGAUUCUGGGCUUGGUUGCGCGGUCCUUUCUUGGUAGAACGUGACAAGCUGUGAUGUUACUCUUGUCCAGAUGGAUGUUCCUACUUUGAAGAAAGGAGAUUACCUGCGUUUCAAGGGAUUCCUGAUCUUUUGAAUUUAGGCUUUUCUCAUCAUCUCUCUUAGUCACCGCGGCAGCGUACGUCCUCGGUUUAACAUCAAGGCCGCUUAUAAUUACAUCUUCUUUUCGAGUAAACAGUUCCAUAUCUUGGAUUCUACGUUCCAUUUCAUCCAUCUUCAACACUUUAUUUUCAAGUGCGACAAUCCUCAGAUCUUUUGCGGCCACACUUUCUCUGAGUUCUCUGAUUUCUGCCAAAAGGUUCGUUAUCUCUGUUUGCUUUGCUACGACAUCUCUUAUAUCUUGCGUCAGUUUCUUCAGUGUUUCAUUCAUUUCUUUUAUUGUUUCUUCCAUCAUUACCUUCUUUGGAGGCAUUAUAGCCUCUAGAUACCAAAAUAACUAUUAAUUUAACUUAACAAUUAAGAUAUAUAUCGAUAGAAACAAUCAAACAAUGUGGAAGAGCCGCAAGCCAAGGCAUGGCAGGGAUCGCCAUCUUGUGCUCGCUGAUUUCUGAUGCAAGAAGAGUUUGAGUUUGAGCGCGCGCAUGUAUCUGAUCAAGACCAUUUGUGCUCGCGCAUCACUUGGAUGCUCUCUCGACGUUUGCCAUUAAAAUAUCGGCGUAGAAACGGCCUUAAAUAAACUAUAAAACAGGGAUCGUGUCUAAAAGAUCCAAUCGAUUUUUUAUUUUGGAUAAAAUCAGUGGAGAAUAUCUCGUAUUUUUCCGUGGGUGCUCGACCAUUUCCGUGGGUGCACCCACGGGAUCGGCGCCUAUGAAUACAGGUACAUAUAUUUAUCAUCUUUUAUUAUCAGUAUAAUGAAGAAUGAGUAUGGUUCAAGCUGAAAAAUGUAAAAAUGUUGCUGUUACAACAAACAUGAGACGUCCGCCCGACGUGCAGAUCAAGUCUAUAUUGCGUCGGUCGGUCGGGACCAUAUCUGUACGUCUACACGACGCGCAAAUCCGGUGCGGUAUCCGGACGUCUUUUUGCGACGUCUCUCGGACGUAGAUAUUAAGUUCAAUAUUUACGUCCAGAUUGGAGGUUUAUUGGACGUCAGUGGACGUGCAAGACUGGUACAGAAACUUGGCAGUAUAACGUUGUGACACACUCUACAUUAUAUUAUUAUAAGUAUACUAUGCAAUAUUAUUAUAAUAUCAUAGUAUAUUACAUAGCUAACAUUAUAUAAUAUUAAGCUGACGUCAUUGAUUUACAUUCAAUACUGCUGUCAUAUUCUCAUUUCAUGUAUAACUUGUACAUACAAGUUAACACUUGAUUCAAUCCACUAAAAAACUUUUUUUUAACCCCAAGUGCUGAGUUACACGUAUUGGGUCACUGUGUUGAAUUAUUUUCUAAUAUUGUUUUAUAGGUACAUUGGGUUAUUUCAGCUAACAGUAAAAUAUCAGCCUGCCAGAGUUUUUUGGGUGGCACAAAAUCAGCGGCUUAUAAUUAUUUAAAGAUUUUAAGUUAUAUGUUUUAAUCCUAUAUGUAUUUAUUUAUGUAAAUGCUGCAUGACUUUGGCGUGAUUUAAUGCGCGUGCGCGUUAAGCGGAGCUCGGAGUUGCCAUGGAAACGGGGAAACAACAACGGACAAGCAAGCAGCAAAAACUCCUCCGUCUCUCGCUGUUGUUUUCACUGCUUUCAGAAAUGGUUUAACAUUAGUGUCUUCGAAAAAAGUCCGUUAGCAUCUCAACCAUUUUCAGAGAAGGAGCGACAGAAAAAAACAUCUACAACAAAGGGUGAUUAAGCUCCACCCUUGCUGCUGACCUGAAGGAAACAGUUUUAAGAAGGCUGUGACAUCCAAAUGUAAGUGACACUGUAUGAGCAAUACUAAAUUCUUCCAUGCUGAUGCCAGCAGAGUUGAAUGGACCUCCUGUCAGAUAACAUCUCAAAGUUAUGAACAAUAUGGCUAAUGCAGUAAUGAAAUGGAGUCAAGAUGCAACUGAGAGGAGAUGAUAAUGCUGAGAUGAACAUGCUUCUGAGCACCUUCAUGCACAACAAGAAAGGAAGGAGUGGGACGCACACAAAAAUAUUUUUAAAAAGACUUCAUAAGAAUGUUAUGGAUUGUUGUUUGUUAUUUGUUAUUUAUGUUGUUUCUAAAUGUUAUGUACGAGCAAUUCCAGCAUUAUGGAUGAGACAUUUGCAGGCAUAACUUGAAAUAUAAAUAUUUAUAGAAUGUAUUCAUUACCAAUAUAUUGAAUCAUCUGUUUAUAUUUUUCUAAACCCCUGAAAAUAGAGUCUAGACAUCAGAAAAAUUUCAGCCUAUAACUGUGUUUUAUAUUUUAGAUGAGGGAAAUACACUUGCUUUGCGGACAUGACAAAAAACAGACAACAUAUUUUGUUUGACUUAAUGUGCAUUACAAUGCACAAACCUAAAGCAACAGUAUCUACCAAAUGGAGAAUGGUUGACUCUUCACAGAACAUAAAAUAUCUAUUUUAUUUUGAUUUGCGUUUUCGCAUUUAGUAAAGAUCAAUGUUACAGACGUGAUGGUUUUGAAAGCGGAAUUUAUCUGACUAUAAAAAUUUUCUAGUUGACUAUACAUUACAUUAAUAUAAUAAACCAUAAUGAGCCUUUGAUAUAUUUAGGCAUAAUUUAAUACGCGCUCAAGCGCAUGCAGAAAGCUUGCUGCAAAUCACCGACAAAAAUAGCCUAAUAAUUAUUGUGUCGGGGAAAUGUCAGGAAUAAAAUGCAAGUGAUCUCGCCGGUGCCUCCAUGUCAUGUAAGUGCAUUAAUACUUAGCAUAAAAACGUGCACAUUUAUCUAGGUCAACGUUAAAGUGUGCGAUCCAUAUUAAAAUAAAUCUUCAUAUCAGAGACAGACGCACUUGCAACCUAUAAGUUGUGGCUAUCGAAGUUUUAAAAUGAUCUAACUGACCGACACAUCUAUUUCGUUGUUGAUCAUAUGUGUUAUUGAUCAAGAUCAUGUAAACAUAUGCUGUCAUAAAAAAAAACAACUGAUCAUUAAUUUAUUUAUUAUAUAAUUAAGGUACAAAUAUUUAUCUAAAAAUGCAAUAUUGGAUAAAGAUGUAAUUUUGCUAAGUGUACCCCUCACAUGUGGUGGAUAAUAGCGAUUUCCUUCAAAUUUCUAUUAAAACACAGCUAAUGCUGUAAAAUACAGAACUAAAUGCACAAAAAAUGUUUCAGUAAGAUUGAUAUUUGCAUGGAAUUGCUCAUAAAAUAUGUUUUUUUAACCCACUAUUAUAUGUUUUUGUUAUUUCUGGGUAUACACACAAUCACAUAUGGACUUCACAUUGAAAUAAAUGUUUUGAUUGAA